rnacentral:misc_RNA from 1 species
GAUGAAGAACGCAGCGAAAUGCGAUACGUAAUGUGAAUUGCAGAAUUCAGUGAAUCAUCGAGUCUUUGAACGCACAUUGCGCCCCCUGGUAUUCCGGGGGGCAUGCCUGUCCGAGCGUCAUUGCUGCCCUCAAGCACGGCUUGUGUGUUGGGCCCCGCCCCCCGGUCUCGGGGGGCGGACCCGAAAGGCAGCGGCGGCACCGCGUCCGGUCCUCGAGCGUAUGGGGCUUCGUCACCCGCUCUGUAGGCCCGGCCGGCGCCCGCCGGCGACCCCAAUCAAUCUAUCCAGGUUGACCUCGGAUCAGGUAGGGAUACCCGCUGAACUUAAGCAUAUCAAUAAGCGGAGGA